rnacentral:rRNA from 1 species
GACGUAGGGGGCGAGCGUUGUCCGGAUUCAUUGGGCGUAAAGCGCGCGCAGGCGGCUUGGUUAGUCGGAUGUGAAAAUCCGGGGCUCAACCCCGGACCUGCAUCCGAUACUGCCAGGCUAGAGGCAGGUAGGGGAGAUCGGAAUUCCUGGUGUAGCGGUGAAAUGCGCAGAUAUCAGGAGGAACACCGGUGGCGAAGGCGGAUCCCUGGGCCUGUCCUGACGCUCAGGCGCGAAAGCUAGGGGAGCAAACAGG